GAGGGUAUAGCUCAGUGGUAAGAGUACGUGCUUAGCAUUCACGAGGUCCUGGGUUCAAUCCCUAAUACCUCCA
rnacentral:tRNA from 1 species